rnacentral:rRNA from 1 species
UACGAGGGGGGCAACUGUUGUUCGGAAUCACUGGGCGUAAAGGGUGCGUAGGCGGGUUUUUAAGUCAGGGGUGAAAUCCUGGAGCUCAACUCCAGAACUGCCUUUGAUACUGAAGAUCUCGAGUCCGGGAGAGGUGAGUGGAACUGCGAGUGUAGAGGCGAAAUUCGUAGAUAUUCGCAAGAACACCAGUGGCGAAGGCGGCUCACUGGCCCGGUACUGACGCUGAGGCACGAAAGCGUGGGGAGCAAACAGG